rnacentral:rRNA from 1 species
UACGUAGGGACCGAGCGUUGUCCGGAAUCAUUGGGCGUAAAGAGCGUGUAGGCGGCCCGGUAAGUCCGCUGUGAAAGUCGGGGGGCUCAACCCUCGGAUGCCGGUGGAUACUGUCGGGCUCGAGUACGGAAGAGGCGAGUGGAAUUCCUGGUGUAGCGGUGAAAUGCGCAGAUAUCAGGAGGAACACCAAUUGCGAAGGCAGCUCGCUGGGACGUUACUGACGCUGAGACGCGAAAGCGUGGGGGAGCAAACAGG